CCUACGGGAGGCAGCAGUAGGGAAUUUUCGGCAAUGGGGGGAACCCUGACCGAGCAACGCCGCGUGAACGAAGAAGUUAUUCGUAAUGUAAAGUUCUUUUAACAGGGAAGAAAGAGACAUUUGACGGUACCUGAAGCAUAAGCUCCGGCUAACUACGUGCCAGCCGCCGCGGUAAUACGUAGGGAGCGAGCGUUAUCCGGAAUUAUUGGGCGUAAGGGGUGCGUAGAUGGCAUAGUAAGUCUUUUGUAAAAAUGCUGGUCUCAACCCAGUAGGGCAAAAGAUACUGCAAAGCUAGAGUAUGACAGAGGCAAGUGGAACUACAUGUGUAGCGGUAAAAUGCGUAAAUAUAUGUAAGAACACCAGUGGCGAAGGCGGCUUGCUGGGUCGAUACUGACAUUGAGGCACGAAAGCGUGGGGAGCAAACAGGAUUAGAUACCCGAGUAGUC
rnacentral:rRNA from 1 species